rnacentral:rRNA from 1 species
ACUAAGCGUACACGGUGGAUGCCCUGGCAGUCAGAGGCGAUGAAGGACGUGCUAAUCUGCGAUAAGCGCCGGUAAGGUGAUAUGAACCGUUAUAACCGGCGAUUUCCGAAUGGGGAAACCCAGUGUGAUUCGUCACACUAUCAUUAACUGAAUCCAUAGGUUAAUGAGGCGAACCGGGGGAACUGAAACAUCUAAGUACCCCGAGGAAAAGAAAUCAACCGAGAUUCCCCCAGUAGCGGCGAGCGAACGGGGAGGAGCCCAGAGCCUGAAUCAGCAUGUGUGUUAGUGGAAGCGUCUGGAAAGGCGCGCGAUACAGGGUGACAGCCCCGUACACAAAAGCGCAUGUGUUGUGAGCUCGAUGAGUAGGGCGGGACACGUGGUAUCCUGUCUGAAUAUGGGGGGACCAUCCUCCAAGGCUAAAUACUCCUGACUGACCGAUAGUGAACCAGUACCGUGAGGGAAAGGCGAAAAGAACCCCGGCGAGGGGAGUGAAAAAGAACCUGAAACCGUGUACGUACAAGCAGUGGGAGCCCCACCACUAAGCCAGUGGUGAACUCCACAUACGCAUCCUUUGCUGAGGAUACGGUUAACGGAGCGCAAGCGACGUUCAACCGCAAAAGAAGCAGAGGGGGCUUAGUGGUGGGGUGACUGCGUACCUUUUGUAUAAUGGGUCAGCGACUUAUAUUCUGUAGCAAGGUUAACCGUAUAGGGGAGCCGGAGGGAAACCGAGUCUUAAUUGGGCGUUAAGUUGCAGGGUAUAGACCCGAAACCCGGUGAUCUAGCCAUGGGCAGGUUGAAGGUUGGGUAACACUAACUGGAGGACCGAACCGACUAAUGUUGAAAAAUUAGCGGAUGACCUGUGGCUGGGGGUGAAAGGCCAAUCAAACCGGGAGAUAGCUGGUUCUCCCCGAAAGCUAUUUAGGUAGCGCCUCGUGAAUUCAUCUCCGGGGGUAGAGCACUGUUUCGGCUAGGGGGCCAUCCCGGCUUACCAACCCGAUGCAAACUGCGAAUACCGGAGAAUGUUAUCACGGGAGACACACGGCGGGUGCUAACGUCCGUCGUGAAGAGGGAAACAACCCAGACCGCCAGCUAAGGUCCCAAAGUCAUGGUUAAGUGGGAAACGAUGUGGGAAGGCCCAGACAGCCAGGAUGUUGGCUUAGAAGCAGCCAUCAUUUAAAGAAAGCGUAAUAGCUCACUGGUCGAGUCGGCCUGCGCGGAAGAUGUAACGGGGCUAAACCAUGCACCGAAGCUGCGGCAGCGAGUAAUAGCUCACUGGUCGAGUCGGCCUGCGCGGAAGAUGUAACGGGGCUAAACCAUGCACCGAAGCUGCGGCAGCGAACGUAUCACUUAAAGCGAUUCAGCGGGUUACGAUUGACGGAGCGAAGCGACGUCAAAGCGUAUACAAAGUCGAGUCGGUUUAAGGAUACGUUCGUUGGGUAGGGGAGCGUUCUGUAAGCCUGUGAAGGUGUGUCGUGAGGCAUGCUGGAGGUAUCAGAAGUGCGAAUGCUNGUUGGGUAGGGGAGCGUUCUGUAAGCCUGUGAAGGUGGCCUGUGAGGGUUGCUGGAGGUAUCAGAAGUGCGAAUGCUGACAUAAGUAACGAUAAAGCGGGUGAAAAGCCCGCUCGCCGGAAGACCAAGGGUUCCUGUCCAACGUUAAUCGGGGCAGGGUGAGUCGACCCCUAAGGCGAGGCCGAAAGGCGUAGUCGAUGGGAAACGGGUUAAUAUUCCCGUACUUGGUGUUACUGCGAAGGGGGGACGGAGAAGGCUAUGUUGGCCGGGCGACGGUUGUCCCGGUUUAAGCGUGUAGGUGUGUGUUCCAGGUAAAUCCGGUUCACUUUAACACUGAGGCGUGAUGACGAGGCACUACGGUGCUGAAGCAACAAAUGCCCUGCUUCCAGGAAAAGCCUCUAAGCAUCAGGUAACAUCAAAUCGUACCCCAAACCGACACAGGUGGUCAGGUAGAGAAUACCAAGGCGCUUGAGAGAACUCGGGUGAAGGAACUAGGCAAAAUGGUGCCGUAACUUCGGGAGAAGGCACGCUGACAUGUAGGUGAAGUGAUUUACUCAUGGAGCUGAAGUCAGUCGAAGAUACCAGCUGGCUGCAACUGUUUAUUAAAAACACAGCACUGUGCAAACACGAAAGUGGACGUAUACGGUGUGACGCCUGCCCGGUGCCGGAAGGUUAAUUGAUGGGGUCAGCGCAAGCGAAGCUCCUGAUCGAAGCCCCGGUAAACGGCGGCCGUAACUAUAACGGUCCUAAGGUAGCGAAAUUCCUUGUCGGGUAAGUUCCGACCUGCACGAAUGGCGUAAUGAUGGCCAGGCUGUCUCCACCCGAGACUCAGUGAAAUUGAACUCGCUGUGAAGAUGCAGUGUACCCGCGGCAAGACGGAAAGACCCCGUGAACCUUUACUAUAGCUUGACACUGAACAUUGAGCCUUGAUGUGUAGGAUAGGUGGGAGGCUUUGAAGUGUGGACGCCAGUCUGCAUGGAGCCGACCUUGAAAUACCACCCUUUAAUGUUUGAUGUUCUAACGUGGACCCGUAAUCCGGGUUGCGGACAGUGUCUGGUGGGUAGUUUGACUGGGGCGGUCUCCUCCUAAAGAGUAACGGAGGAGCACGAAGGUUGGCUAAUCCUGGUCGGACAUCAGGAGGUUAGUGCAAUGGCAUAAGCCAGCUUGACUGCGAGCGUGACGGCGCGAGCAGGUGCGAAAGCAGGUCAUAGUGAUCCGGUGGUUCUGAAUGGAAGGGCCAUCGCUCAACGGAUAAAAGGUACUCCGGGGAUAACAGGCUGAUACCGCCCAAGAGUUCAUAUCGACGGCGGUGUUUGGCACCUCGAUGUCGGCUCAUCACAUCCUGGGGCUGAAGUAGGUCCCAAGGGUAUGGCUGUUCGCCAUUUAAAGUGGUACGCGAGCUGGGUUUAGAACGUCGUGAGACAGUUCGGUCCCUAUCUGCCGUGGGCGCUGGAGAACUGAGGGGGGCUGCUCCUAGUACGAGAGGACCGGAGUGGACGCAUCACUGGUGUUCGGGUUGUCAUGCCAAUGGCACUGCCCGGUAGCUAAAUGCGGAAGAGAUAAGUGCUGAAAGCAUCUAAGCACGAAACUUGCCCCGAGAUGAGUUCUCCCUGAGACUUAAAGUCUCCUGAAGGAACGUUGAAGACGACGACGUUGAUAGGCCGGGUGUGUAAGCGCAGCGAUGCGUUGAGCUAACCGGUACUAAUGAACCGUGAGGCUUAACC